AGCGAACGCUGGCGGCAGGCCUAACACAUGCAAGUCGAACGAACCUUUCGGGGUUAGUGGCGGACGGGUGAGUAACACGUGGGAACGUGCCUUUAGGUUCGGAAUAACUCAGGGAAACUUGUGCUAAUACCGAAUGUGCCCUUCGGGGGAAAGAUUUAUCGCCUUUAGAGCGGCCCGCGUCUGAUUAGCUAGUUGGUUGAGGUAAUGGCUCACCAAGGCGACGAUCAGUAGCUGGUCUGAGAGGAUGAUCAGCCACAUUGGGACUGAGACACGGCCCAAACUCCUACGGGAGGCAGCAGUGUGGAGUCUUGCGCAAUGGGCGAAAGCCUGACGCAGCCAUGCCGCGUGAAUGAUGAAGGUCUUAGGAUUGUAAAAUUCUUUCACCGGGGACGAUAAUGACGGUACCCGGAGAAGAAGCCCCGGCUAACUUCGUG
rnacentral:rRNA from 1 species